rnacentral:rRNA from 1 species
UGGGGAAUAUUGGACAAUGGGCGCAAGCCUGAUCCAGCAAUGCCGCGUGUGUGAAGAAGGCCUUCGGGUUGUAAAGCACUUUUAUCAGGAGCGAAACGCUGUCGGCUAAUACCCGGCGGAACUGACGGUACCUGAGGAAUAAGCACCGGCUAACUUCGUGCCAGCAGCCGCGGUAAUACGAAGGGUGCAAGCGUUAAUCGGAAUUACUGGGCGUAAAGCGUACGUAGGCGGUUUCUUAAGUCUGCUGUGAAAUCCCCGGGCUCAACCUGGGAAUGGCAGUGGAUACUGGGAGGCUAGAGUGUGUCAGAGGGUGGUGGAAUUCCCGGUGUAGCGGUGAAAUGCGUAGAGAUCGGGAGGAACAUCAGUGGCGAAGGCGGCCACCUGGGACAACACUGACGCUGAGGCACGAAAGCGUGGGGGAUCAAACAGGAUUAGAUACCCUGGUAGUCCACGCCCUAAAGCGAUGCGAACUGGAUGUUGGUCUCAACUCGGAGAUCAGUGUCGAAGCUAACGCGUUAAGUUCGCCGCCCUGGGGAGUACGGUCGCAAGACUGAAACUUAAAGG